rfam:Ricinus communis cultivar Hale ctg_1100012300538, whole genome shotgun sequence.
GUGUGCGAUCAUACCAGCACUAAUGCACCGGAUCCCAUCAGAACUCCGAAGUUAAACGUGCUUGGGCGAGAGUAGUACUAAGAUGGGUGACCUCUUGUGAAGUUCUCGUGUUGCACCCU